CAAAGUUGAUGAGGACCCUGCAAAAAAAAUUUGCAGAGAAAGAGAAGAAGACAAUGGAAGGAACAUACAAGGGUCUGUGUGGUCAUAGGAUUUGGACCUUCUGCGCUUGUUCCAUGCUGAGACUAAACCGAAAGGCAUUACACAUAACUUGAUGGAGAAGGUUGGUGCUGUGAUACUUCUCACAGAUUAGUGUGCAAGGUCGACUAUCAAUCUAUCAUGAAAGGUGA